CCUACGGGAGGCAGCAGUGAGGAAUAUUGGUCAAUGGACGAGAGUCUGAACCAGCCAAGUAGCGUGAAGGAUGACUGCCCUAUGGGUUGUAAACUUCUUUUAUAUGGGAAUAAAAUGUUCCACGUGUGGGAUUUUGUAUGUCCCAUAUGAAUAAGGAUCGGCUAACUACGUGCCCGCAGCCGGGGUAAUCCGGAGGAACUGAGCGUUAUCCGGAUUUAUGGGGUGUAAAGGGAGCGUAGGUGGAUUGUUAAGUCACUUGUGAAAGUUUUCGGUGUAACCGUAAAAGUAAAGUUGAAACUGGCAGUCUUGAGUACAGUAGAGGUGAGCGGAAUUCGUGGUGUAGCGGUGAAAUGCGUAGAUAUCACGAAGAACUCCGAUUGCGAAGGCAGCUCACUGGACUGCAACUGACACUGAGGCUCGAAAGUGUGGGGAUCAAACAGGAUUAGAUACCCUAGUAGUC
rnacentral:rRNA from 1 species